CCAGACUCCUACGGGAGGCAGCAGUGGGGAAUAUUGCACAAUGGGGGAAACCCUGAUGCAGCGACGCCGCGUGAGUGAGGAAGUAUUUCGGUAUGUAAAGCUCUAUCAGCAGGGAAGAAAAUGACGGUACCUGACUAAGAAGCCCCGGCUAACUACGUGCCAGCAGCCGCGGUAAUACGUAGGGGGCAAGCGUUAUCCGGAUUUACUGGGUGUAAAGGGAGCGUAGACGGCUAAUCAAGUCAGAAGUGAAAGCCCGGGGCUCAACUCCGGGACUGCUUUUGAAACUGUGUUGCUAGAUUGCAGGAGAGGUAAGUGGAAUUCCUAGUGUAGCGGUGAAAUGCGUAGAUAUUAGGAAGAACACCAGUGGCGAAGGCGGCUUACUGGACAGUAACUGACGUUGAGGCUCGAAAGCGUGGGGAGCAAACAGGAUUAGAUACCCGGGUAAG
rnacentral:rRNA from 1 species